rnacentral:rRNA from 1 species
UACGAAGGGGGCUAGCGUUGCUCGGAAUCACUGGGCGUAAAGGGUGCGUAGGCGGGUUAUUAAGUCAGAGGUGAAAUCCUGGAGCUCAACUCCAGAACUGCCUUUGAUACUGAUAGUCUUGAGUACGGGAGAGGUGAGUGGAACUGCGAGUGUAGAGGUGAAAUUCGUAGAUAUUCGCAAGAACACCAGUGGCGAAGGCGGCUCACUGGCCCGUUACUGACGCUGAGGCACGAAAGCGUGGGGAGCAAACAGG